rnacentral:rRNA from 1 species
UACGNGGGGUGCANGCGNUAAUCGGAAUCACNGGGCGNAAAGGGUGCGUANGCGGUACGUUAGGUCUGUCGUGNAAUCCCCGGGCUCAACCUGNGAAUGGCGGUGGNAACCGGUGUACUAGAGUAUGGGAGAGGGUGGUGGAAUUCCAGGUGUAGCGGUGAAAUGCGUAGAGAUCUGGAGGAACAUCAGUGGCGAAGGCGGCCACCUGGCCCAAUACUGACGCUGAGGCACGAAAGCGUGGGGAGCAAACAGG